CCUACGGGUGGCAGCAGUGAGGAAUAUUGGUCAAUGGGCGCAAGCCUGAACCAGCCAAGUCGCGUGAGGGAUGACUGCCCUGAGGGUUGUAGACUUCUUUUAUAGAGGAAUAAAGUGACGCACGUGUGCCGUUUUGUAUGUACUUUAUGAAUAAGGAUCGGCUAACUCCGUGCCAGCAGCCGCGGUAAUACGGAGGAUCCGAGCGUUAUCCGGAUUUAUUGGGUUUAAAGGGUGCGUAGGCGGGCCUUUAAGCCGGCGGUCAAAUGGCGGGGCUCAACCCCGGCCUGCCGUCGGAACUGGGGGCCGUGAGUGGGGCGGAGGCAUGCGGAAUGCGUGGUGUAGCGGUGAAAUGCAUAGAUAUCACGCAGAACCCCGAUUGCGAAGGCAGCAUACCGGCGCCCUACUGACGCUGAGGCACGAAAGUGCGGGGAUCGAACAGGAUUAGAUACCCGUGUAGUC
rnacentral:rRNA from 1 species